rnacentral:rRNA from 1 species
ACGCACGCUGGCGGCGUGCUUCACCCCUGCCAGUCGCACGGAAAGGCCCUGCUUGCAGGGUACUCGAGUGGCGAACGGGUGAGUAACACGUGGGUGAUCUGCCCUGCACUUCGGGAUAAGCCUGGGAAACUGGGCCUAAUACCGGAUAGGAGCCAUUUUUAGUGUGAUGGUUGGAAAGUUUUUUCGGUGUAGGAUGAGCUCGCGGCCUAUCAGCUUGUUGGUGGGGUAAUGGCCUACCAAGGCGGCGACGGGUAGCCGGCCUGAGAGGGUGGACGGCCACAUUGGGACUGAGAUACGGCCCAGACUCCUACGGGAGGCAGCAGUGGGGAAUAUUGCACAAUGGGCGCAAGCCUGAUGCAGCGACGCCGCGUGGGGGAUGACGGCCUUCGGGUUGUAAACUCCUUUCGCUAGGGACGAAGCUUUUUGUGACGGUACCUAGAUAAGAAGCACCGGCUAACUACGUG